rnacentral:rRNA from 1 species
CCUACGGGAGGCAGCAGUGAGGAAUAUUGGUCAAUGGACGAGAGUCUGAACCAGCCAAGUAGCGUGAAGGAUGACUGCCCUAUGGGUUGUAAACCUCUUUUAUAUGGGAAUAAUAUGUUCCACGUGUGGGAUUUUGUCUGUACCAUAUGAAUAAGGAUCGGCUAACUCCGUGCCAGCAGCCGCGGUAAUACGGAGGAUCCGAGCGUUAUCCGGAUUUAUUGGGUUUAAAGGGAGCGUAGGUGGUUUGUUAAGUCAGGUGUUAAAGUGUGCGGCUCAACCGUAGAAUUGCAGUUGAAACUGGCAGUCUUGAGUGCAGUAGAGGUAGGCGGAAUUCGUGGUGUAGCGGUGAAAUGCUUAGAUAUCACGAAGAACUCCGAUUGCGAAGGCAGCUUACUGGACUGCAACUGACGCUGAGGCUCGAAAGUGUGGGUAUCGAACAGGAUUAGAUACCCGAGUAGUC